rnacentral:tRNA from 1 species
UGGCAGGUAGCACUCAAGGUGAGCGCGCCCGGCUGUUAACCGGGAAUGAGGUCGGUUCGAUCCCGACCCUGCCAGCCA